UACAGUGGGUGCAAACGUUGUUCGGAAUUACUGGGCGUAAAGCGCACGUAGGCGGCUUUGCAAGUUAGAGGUGAAAGCCCGGGGCUCAACUCCGGAAUUGCCUUUAAAACUGCAUCGCUAGAAUUGUGGAGAGGUAAGUGGAAUUCCGAGUGUAGAGGUGAAAUUCGUAGAUAUUCGGAAGAACACCAGCGGCGAAGGCGACUUACUGGACACAUAUUGACGCUGAGGUGCGAAAGCGUGGGGAGCAAACAGG
rnacentral:rRNA from 1 species